AGAGUUUGAUCCUGGCUCAGGAUGAACGCUAGCUACAGGCUUAACACAUGCAAGUCGAGGGGAAACGACAUCGAAAGCUUGCUUUUGAUGGGCGUCGACCGGCGCACGGGUGAGUAACGCGUAUCCAACCUGCCCACCACUUGGGGAUAACCUUGCGAAAGUAAGACUAAUACCCAAUGACGUCUCUAGAAGACAUCUGAAGGAGAUUAAAGAUUUAUCGGUGAUGGAUGGGGAUGCGUCUGAUUAGCUUGUUGGCGGGGUAACGCCACAAGGCGACGAUCAGUAGGGUUCUGAGAGGAACGUCCCCANAUUGGAACUGAGACACGGUCCAAACUCCGUACGGGAGCA
rnacentral:rRNA from 1 species